CUGCCCACCCUUCAGCGAGAGGGACGGCAGCCGGCCGGGGGGCGCUCUGGGGCUCGACGGGUCCUGGAGUCUCCCCGGGGCACGCUUGGCGCUGUUACAGAGGGAGGGAGGACCGGGCGGGGAGUGCCUCGGAGGGCAGCAGGGUGUUUCGGUGGAGUUCCUGAGGGAAAAGUUGAGGUCUGAGGCCAAGGUGCACCAGAAAUUCAUGGAAAUAAUCUUCUGGGAGGAAAGGAGAAGAAUGAUGAUCACGUACAGGACGCUGGCGGAGGAGAGAGAAGAGGCGUCGUGUGGAACGGCGAGGCAAGAGUGAGCGAGAAGAGGAGCGGGGAGCGGCGUCGGGCUGCGGAGGGGCCACGAGAAAGGCACUCUGGGCAAAGGGACCUCCCUGUCUCCGGGGCGUGGUCGCGUAAGA